UACGUAGGGUGCAAGCGUUAAUCGGAAUUACUGGGCGUAAAGCGUGCGCAGGCGGUUAUUCAAGACAGAUGUGAAAUCCCCGGGCUCAACCUGGGAACUGCAUUUGUGACUGUAUAGCUAGAGUACGGUAGAGGGGGAUGGAAUUCCGCGUGUAGCAGUGAAAUGCGUAGAUAUGCGGAGGAACACCGAUGGCGAAGGCAAUCCCCUGGACCUGUACUGACGCUCAUGCACGAAAGCGUGGGGAGCAAACAGG
rnacentral:rRNA from 1 species